GACGAACGCUGGCGGCGUGCUUAACACAUGCAAGUCGAACGGUAAGGCCCUUCGGGGUACACGAGUGGCGAACGGGUGAGUAACACGUGGGUGAUCUGCCCUGCACUUCGGGAUAAGCCUGGGAAACUGGGUCUAAUACCGGAUAGGACUCCUGGCUUCAUGGUUGGGGGUGGAAAGCUUUUGCGGUGUGGGAUGGGCCCGCGGCCUAUCAGCUUGUUGGUGGGGUAAUGGCCUACCAAGGCGACGACGGGUAGCCGGGCUGGGAGGGUGACCGGCCACACGGGGACUGAGAUACGGCCCAGACUCCUAAGGGAGGCAGCAGUGGGGAAUAUUGCACAAUGGGCGCAAGCCUGAUGCAGCGACGCCGCGUGAGGGAUGACGGCCUUCGGGUUGUAAACCUCUUUCAGUAGGGACGAAGCGCAAGUGACGGUACCUACAGAAGAAGGACCGGCCAACUACGUGCCAGCAGCCGCAGUAA
rnacentral:rRNA from 1 species